rnacentral:lncRNA from 1 species
CUAAAAAUAGCUUCCUCUGAUUCUCUGUGUCUUGUUAAAAUGUAGCCAAACUCAAGGUCUGGCUAACAGGUGGAAAAAAGUUUUAGAGGUACAAAGGAGUACCUCUUCUCCGUGUUGCAAACAAAACAGUGCCUCCCUUAAUUUUUCAGAACUGCGUUUCUGUCCUUUUGGAAGGGAGCUUUCUUCCCUUGGAAAGAAAAGAUGGCAUCUGCCACUGGGGAAGAGCCUUAUGCCCCAGCCCAAGGAAGGUGGAUUGGAAUUGGAAAGGUGGCUAGGUGAGAAUGGGGUCAGGGCAAAGGCAGAGGGACGACCUCAGAGGACAUUUCCUCACACGAGGGUUUGAGGACUGCAGGAUCCAAUCUUCUGCUGGUGUACAAAGUCCUUCUUGAUCUUCCCGUGGGCUACAGAUCCAGACCCACAUCCGGCUACCCGAACCUCGGGGGUUUCCUGACUGCUCGGCGUCCGUGCUGCCUUGCCCUUCCACAUGCAGCUCUCUCUGCUUUGCAUGCAUCACUGGUACCCCGAAAACAUACCCCACCUAGAUGAUAAAUUCACUGAAGGCAGAGACCACGUUUCAUCUUUGGGACCCCUUGUAACUAAGCAAGGGCUUGGCACAGGUUUGCUGAAUUAAGGACUGGAUUUCGUGGUGCCUUCUGUAAGCAUUAUCAGAACCUAGAGAUGAGGAAGAUCAUUACUGACUGGUGUGGUCUGGGAAGACUCCUAAAGGAAAGUCAGAUCCACAAUACCUAGUACAGUGCUGAACCACAAAACACAUUCGGGAAAUAUUUGUUGCCUGACCAAUUGAAGAACUGAAAAGAGGGCAGAAGGAAAUUCCAGAAGAGAAGUCACAGCAAGAGCAAAGGCAUGGAGGUGGGCGUGGCUGCAGCGUGUUCAGGGAAACAGCGUCAGCCUGGCUAAGAGUGAUGGUUUGGGUCAGGGCAGUUCAAAACUUGGCAGCUCGGGCACUUCAAGGCAUUUAUCCCAAUUCCUCUUCCCCAUUCGAGCACACCACCCCCUUCACUGCUUCUGAGGUUGGCUUGAUAUAAAUCUGAGUCUAGUUCAUGUUAAUGGACUUAACCCUCUAACUGGAAACUGUCUUUUCUGCGGAGCCCAUUAUGUUAGCUCUCUGGAGUAGAG